rnacentral:rRNA from 1 species
UGGGACAACUCGGGAAACCGGAGCUAAUACCGGAUAAGAUAUCGAACCGCAUGGUUCGAUAGUGAAAGAUGGUUUUGCUAUCACUUAUAGAUGGACCCGCGCCGUAUUAGCUAGUUGGUGAGGUAACGGCUCACCAAGGCAACGAUACGUAGCCGACCUGAGAGGGUGAUCGGCCACACUGGAACUGAGACACGGUCCAGACUCCUACGGGAGGCAGCAGAC